GCGGCGGACUACACAUGCAGUCGAGCGGUAGCACAGAGAGCUUGCUCUCGGGUGACGAGCGGCGGACGGGUGAGUAAUGUCUGGGAAACUGCCUGAUGGAGGGGGAUAACUACUGGAAACGGUAGCUAAUACCGCAUAAUGUCGCAAGACCAAAGUGGGGGACCUUCGGGCCUCAUGCCAUCAGAUGUGCCCAGAUGGGAUUAGCUAGUAGGUGGGGUAACGGCUCACCUAGGCGACGAUCCCUAGCUGGUCUGAGAGGAUGACCAGCCACACUGGAACUGAGACACGGUCCAGACUCCUACGGGAGGCAGCAGUGGGGAAUAUUGCACAAUGGGCGCAAGCCUGAUGCAGCCAUGCCGCGUGUGUGAAGAAGGCCUUCGGGUUGUAAAGCACUUUCAGCGGGGAGGAAGGCGAUAAGGUUAAUAACCUUGUCGAUUGACGUUACCCGCAGAAGAAGCACCGGCUAACUCCGUGCCAGCAGCCGCGGUAAUACGGAGGGUGCAAGCGUUAAUCGGAAUUACUGGGCGUAAAGCGCACGCAGGCGGUCUGUCAAGUCGGAUGUGAAAUCCCCGGGCUCAACCUGGGAACUGCAUUCGAAACGGCAGGCUAAAGUCUUGUAAAAGGGGGUAGAAUUCCAGGUGUAUUGUGAAAUGCGGUAAAUCUGGAUGAAUCCUGUGG
rnacentral:rRNA from 1 species